rnacentral:rRNA from 1 species
GUGGGGAAUCUUCCGCAAUGGACGAAAGUCUGACGGAGCAACGCCGCGUGAGUGAUGAAGGUCUUCGGAUUGUAAAGCUCUGUUAAUCGGGACGAAAGAGCCUAGUGUGAAUAAUGCUAGGAAGUGACGGUACCGGAAUAGAAAGCCACGGCUAACUACGUGCCAGCAGCCGCGGUAAUACGUAGGUGGCAAGCGUUGUCCGGAAUUAUUGGGCGUAAAGCGCGCGAAGGCGGAUCUGCCAGUCUGUCUUAAAAGUUCGGGGCUUAACCCCGUGAUGGGAUGGAAACUACAGAUCUAGAGUAUCGGAGAGGAAAGUGGAAUUCCUAGUGUAGCGGUGAAAUGCGUAGAUAUUAGGAAGAACACCAGUGGCGAAGGCGACUUUCUGGACGAAAACUGACGCUGAGGCGCGAAAGCCAGGGGAGCGAACGGGAUUAGAUACCCGGGUAGUCC